GUGGGCGUAGCUCAGUUGGUAGAGCACGGGAUUGUGACUCCCGUUGUCGUGGGUUCGAUCCCCAUCGUCCAC
rnacentral:tRNA from 1 species